GGUCCCAUAGUCCAAUGGCUAAGACAUGUCCUUGACGUGGACAAGAUCCAGGUCCGAUUCCUGGUGGGACCA
rnacentral:tRNA from 1 species